GUACCUUUUGUAUAAUGGGUCAGCGACUUAUAUUCUGUAGCAAGGUUAACCGCAUAGGGGAGCCGGAGGGAAACCGAGUCUUAAUUGGGCGUUAAGUUGCAGGGUAUAGACCCGAAACCCGGUGAUCUAGCCAUGGGCAGGUUGAAGGUUGGGUAACACUAACUGGAGGACCGAACCGACUAAUGUUGAAAAAUUAGCGGAUGACCUGUGGCUGGGGGUGAAAGGCCAAUCAAACCGGGAGAUAGCUGGUUCUCCCCGAAAGCUAUUUAGGUAGCGCCUCGUGAAUUCAUCUCCGGGGGUAGAGCACUGUUUCGGCUAGGGGGCCAUCCCGGCUUACCAACCCGAUGCAAACUGCGAAUACCGGAGAAUGUUAUCACGGGAGACACACGGCGGGUGCUAACGUCCGUCGUGAAGAGGGAAACAACCCAGACCGCCAGCUAAGGUCCCAAAGUCAUGGUUAAGUGGGAAACGAUGUGGGAAGGCCCAGACAGCCAGGAUGUUGGCUUAGAAGCAGCCAUCAUUUAAAGAAAGCGUAAUAGCUCACUGGUCGAGUCGGCCUGCGCGGAAGAUGUAACGGGGCUAAACCAUGCACCGAAGCUGCGGCAGCGACGCUGAUGCGUUGUUGGGUAGGGGAGCGUUCUGUAAGCCUGCGAAGGUGUGUCGUGAGGCAUGCUGGAGGUAUCAGAAGUGCGAAUGCUGACAUAAGUAACGAUAAAGCGGGUGAAAAGCCCGCUCGCCGGAAGACCAAGGGUUCCUGUCCAACGUUAAUCGGGGCAGGGUGAGUCGACCCCUAAGGCGAGGCCGAAAGGCGUAGUCGAUGGGAAACGGGUUAAUAUUCCCGUACUUGGUGUUACUGCGAAGGGGGGACGGAGAAGGCUAUGUUGGCCGGGCGACGGUUGUCCCGGUUUAAGCGUGUAGGUGUGUGUUCCAGGUAAAUCCGGUUCACUUUAACACUGAGGCGUGAUGACGAGGCACUACGGUGCUGAAGCAACAAAUGCCCUGCUUCCAGGAAAAGCCUCUAAGCAUCAGGUAACAUCAAAUCGUACCCCAAACCGACACAGGUGGUCAGGUAGAGAAUACCAAGGCGCUUGAGAGAACUCGGGUGAAGGAACUAGGCAAAAUGGUGCCGUAACUUCGGGAGAAGGCACGCUGACACGUAGGUGAAGUGAUUUACUCAUGGAGCUGAAGUCAGUCGAAGAUACCAGCUGGCUGCAACUGUUUAUUAAAAACACAGCACUGUGCAAACACGAAAGUGGACGUAUACGGUGUGACGCCUGCCCGGUGCCGGAAGGUUAAUUGAUGGGGUCAGCGCAAGCGAAGCUCCUGAUCGAAGCCCCGGUAAACGGCGGCCGUAACUAUAACGGUCCUAAGGUAGCGAAAUUCCUUGUCGGGUAAGUUCCGACCUGCACGAAUGGCGUAAUGAUGGCCAGGCUGUCUCCACCCGAGACUCAGUGAAAUUGAACUCGCUGUGAAGAUGCAGUGUACCCGCGGCAAGACGGAAAGACCCCGUGAACCUUUACUAUAGCUUGACACUGAACAUUGAGCCUUGAUGUGUAGGAUAGGUGGGAGGCUUUGAAGUGUGGACGCCAGUCUGCAUGGAGCCGGCCUUGAAAUACCACCCUUUAAUGUUUGAUGUUCUAACGUGGACCCGUGAUCCGGGUUGCGGACAGUGUCUGGUGGGUAGUUUGACUGGGGCGGUCUCCUCCUAAAGAGUAACGGAGGAGCACGAAGGUUGGCUAAUCCUGGUCGGACAUCAGGAGGUUAGUGCAAUGGCAUAAGCCAGCUUGACUGCGAGCGUGACGGCGCGAGCAGGUGCGAAAGCAGGUCAUAGUGAUCCGGUGGUUCUGAAUGGAAGGGCCAUCGCUCAACGGAUAAAAGGUACUCCGGGGAUAACAGGCUGAUACCGCCCAAGAGUUCAUAUCGACGGCGGUGUUUGGCACCUCGAUGUCGGCUCAUCACAUCCUGGGGCUGAAGUAGGUCCCAAGGGUAUGGCUGUUCGCCAUUUAAAGUGGUACGCGAGCUGGGUUUAGAACGUCGUGAGACAGUUCGGUCCCUAUCUGCCGUGGGCGCUGGAGAACUGAGGGGGGCUGCUCCUAGUACGAGAGGACCGGAGUGGACGCAUCACUGGUGUUCGGGUUGUCAUGCCAAUGGCACUGCCCGGUAGCUAAAUGCGGAAGAGAUAAGUGCUGAAAGCAUCUAAGCACGAAACUUGCCCCGAGAUGAGUUCUCCCUGAGACUUAGAGUCUCCUGAAGGAACGUUGAAGACGACGACGUUGAUAGGCCGGGUGUGUAAGCGCAGCGAUGCGUUGAGCUAACCGGUACUAAUGAACCGUGAGGCUUAACCUU
rnacentral:rRNA from 1 species